rnacentral:rRNA from 1 species
UGACGACCAUAGAGCAUUGGAACCACCUGAUCCCAUCCCGAACUCAGCAGUGAAACGGUGUAUCGCCGAUGGUAGUGUGGGGUUUCCCCAUGUGAGAGUAGGUCAUCGUCAAGAUU